rnacentral:tRNA from 1 species
UGGGGGAUCGUCUAAUGGUAGGACUGCAGACUCUGACUCUGCCUAUCGUGGUUCGAAUCCACGUCCCCCAACCA